GACGAACGCUGGCGGCGUGCCUAAUACAUGCAAGUAGAACGCUGAAGGAGGAGCUUGCUUCUCCGGAUGAGUUGCGAACGGGUGAGUAACGCGUAGGUAACCUGCCUGGUAGCGGGGGAUAACUAUUGGAAACGAUAGCUAAUACCGCAUAACAGUAGAUAUCGCAUGAUAUCUGCUUGAAAGGUGCAAUUGCAUCACUACCAGAUGGACCUGCGUUGUAUUAGCUAGUUGGUGAGGUAACGGCUCACCAAGGCGACGAUACAUAGCCGACCUGAGAGGGUGAUCGGCCACACUGGGACUGGGACACGGCCCAGACUCCUACGGGAGGCGGCAGUAGGGAAUCUUCGGCAAUGGACGGAAGUCUGACCGAGCAACGCCGCGUGAGUGAAGAAGGGUUUCGGAUCGUAAAGCUCUGUUGUAAGAGAAGAACGAGUGUGAGAGUGGAAAGUUCACACUGUGACGGUAUCUUAACAGAAAGGGACGGCUAACUACGUG
rnacentral:rRNA from 1 species